AAGUCGUAACAAGGUUUCCGUAGGUGAACCUGCGGAAGGAUCAUUAUCGAGAGGGGCUGGCUGAUUAUGUGCGCGAAAUGUGUGUGCAAGUCAGCAGAGCCAAAGCCUACCCUCAACCCCUGUGUGAACCUUGGUUGCCGCUGAGUGGUGAUAAUGGCCGGCGAACAACCGAGCUUUCCAAGGAAAGCGUCCGUUGGUAGCUGCUACGCCACACCACAAUGCGUGCAUCCAACAUUUUCUUUCUUCUACACUUCCUUCUUCGGCAGUGUCUUUAACCGAGUAUCCAAUAAUGUGGUUUAUUUUGGGUUGUGUGGGCAGAUCGUAUUCUAGCCCGCUCAAUGGACACCACUGGAAAAUACAAAAAUGACUUUCAGCAACGGAUCUCUUGGCUCUC
rnacentral:misc_RNA from 1 species